rnacentral:rRNA from 1 species
UACGUAGGGGGCAAGCGUUGUCCGGAAUCAUUGGGCGUAAAGAGCGUGUAGGCGGCUCGUUAAGUCUGCUGUGAAAGUCCAGGGCUCAACCCUGGAAGGCCGGUGGAAACUGUCGGGCUAGAGUCCGGAAGAGGCGAGUGGAAUUCCAGGUGUAGCGGUGAAAUGCGUAGAUAUCUGGAGGAACACCGGUGGCGAAGGCGGCAUCCUGGACCGGUAUUGACGCUGAUGCGCGAAAGCCAGGGGAGCAAACGGG